GAUGAACGCUGGCGGCGUGCCUAAUACAUGCGAGUCGAGCGAACAGACGAGGAGCUUGCUCCUCUGACGUUAGCGGCGGACGGGUGAGUAACACGUGGAUAACCUACCUAUAAGACGGGGAUAACUUCGGGAAACCGGAGCUAAUACCGGAUAAUAUAUUGAACCGCAUGGUUCAAUAGUGAAAGACGGUUUUGCUGUCACUUAUAGAUGGAUCCGCGCCGCAUUAGCUAGUUGGUAAGGUAACGGCUUACCAAGGCAACGAUGCGUAGCCGACCUGAGAGGGUGAUCGGCCACACUGGAACUGAGACACGGUCCAGACUCCUACGGGAGGCAGCAGUAGGGAAUCUUCCGCAAUGGGCGAAAGCCUGACGGAGCAACGCCGCGUGAGUGAUGAAGGUCUUCGGAUCGUAAAACUCUGUUAUUAGGGAAGAACAAAUGUGUAAGUAACUAUGCACGUCUUGACGGUACCUAAUCAGAAAGCCACGGCUAACUACGUG
rnacentral:rRNA from 1 species